rnacentral:rRNA from 1 species
AUUGAACGCUGGCGGCAGGCCUAACACAUGCAGGUCGAGCGGAUGAAGGGAGCUUGCUCCUGGAUUCAGCGGCGGACGGGUGAGUAAUGCCUAGGAAUCUGCCUGGUAGUGGGGGAUAACGUCCGGAAACGGGCGCUAAUACCGCAUACGUCCUGAGGGAGAAAGUGGGGGAUCUUCGGACCUCACGCUAUCAGAUGAGCCUAGGUCGGAUUAGCUAGUUGGUGGGGUAAAGGCCUACCAAGGCGACGAUCCGUAACUGGUCUGAGAGGAUGAUCAGUCACACUGGAACUGAGACACGGUCCAGACUCCCACGGGAGGCAGCAGUGGGGAAUAUUGGACAAAGGGCGAAAGCCUGAUCCAGCCAUGCCGCGUGUGUGAAGAAGGUCUUCGGAUUGUAAAGCACUUUAAGUUGGGAGGAAGGGCAGUAAGUUAAUACCUUGCUGUUUUGACGUUACCAACAGAAUAAGCACCGGCUAACUUCGUG